CCAGGGUGGAUCGGGAGGUGUCUCCGGAGCAUGGCCGUGCCACUAUGGUUGGACAGACUGCUCUGGCCAGUGGUCUUUUCGGUGAGUCCUGUGUGUAAUUUUAGAUGCUUCAAGAAGAAUGUAAACUAGAUCUGAAAAAAAGCAUCCAAAUGAUUACAGCUCUAGGAAACUUCAAGGAAUUGGGUUUCUUAAAUCUAGAAAAGAGAAAAUGAAGGGGAAAAAUAAUGGUAACAGUCUUCAAAUAAGGUGGCUGCCGUUCUCACGUUUCAGAAGUAGCUGCAUUUUGGGGAUGCUGUAUGCAUAUUUAUAGUUUUAACAACCUUUUACAAUGAUAGGGGAUAUGCAAAUGUAACUCUAUUAUUACUUGGCAUAGUAUAACAAAGUAUCUGAACCCAUGAAUUACUAGUCCAAAGGAAACAAAGUAUGCUGGUACUUGGCAAAUAAUCAGAAGUUACAGAGAUG